AGCAGGGAGGCAGCCUGUUGCUCCUGAUCAAACAGCCUCCUCUUGCUCCACAAGCUUCAGCGCUUGUGUUGAGAUGGAGCAGAGUUAGAGCUACAAGGAGACACCUUCUGCAUCUUCACUCGCGUGAAUUCCUCGUCUUCAGGUUUCCUCUGCAGGGAUACGAGAGCAAAUCUGUGAGGGCGAGAUCGCGCUGACGGGAGACUGAGCACAGGCAUGUGAGCGGACAGUAAAGAUGACCCUGUUGGCGGGUGAUGGCUCUGACUAUGACUACAGCGCCCUGAGCUGCGCCUCUGACACCUCCCUCGAUCAGCCUCCCCAACACGAGGAGGAGGCUCGGAAGGGAGCCUUCUACAAAAGGGCCCAGCUGGCCCCCGAGCCCGGCGCCAUCCCUGACGGCACCACGCUGUCCGGCGGCCGCAGGAUCCACGCCAUCAUCAAUGUGGGCGGCCUGCGCUACCAGAUGCCCUGGACCACCUUGGAGGACUUCCCGCUUUCCCGUCUGGGCCAGCUGCACCUCUGCAGCAGCUUCGACGAGAUCAUGAGCAUCUGUGACGACUACGACGUGACGCACAACGAGUUCUUCUUCGACCGCAGCCCCUGUGCCUUCCGGACCAUCCUGACGUUCCUGCGGGCGGGGAAGCUGCGCUCCCUCAGGGAGAUGUGCGCGCUCUCCUUCAGGGAGGAGCUCCUCUACUGGGGCGUCCCAGAGGAGAGCCUGGAGUGGUGCUGUCGCCGGCGCCUGCUGCAGCGCGUGGAGGAGUGCGAAGCCAUGGAGCGAGUGGAGGAAGAGGACGAACUCCUGGAGGAUCUGCUGGACUCUGAGAACGGGCACAGGGAGCGCACAGCUGAGUCCAGAAUCAGCUGGUGCAUGGGCAAACUGAGGGACAUGGUGGAGAGGCCUCAGUCCGGGCUGCCGGGGAAGAUCUUCGCCUGUCUGUCGGUGCUGUUUGUGACCAUCACAGCCGUCAACCUCUCCAUCAGCACCAUGCCGGCCAUGAGAGAGGAGGAGGAAGCGGGCACAUGUUCCAAGAUGUGUUACAACAUCUUCAUAGUGGAGACGGUGUGCGUGGCCUGGUUCUCCCUGGAGUUCUCCCUGCGCUUCAUUCAGGAUCGCAGCAAGCUGACCUUCUUCAGGAAGCCUCUGAACCUGAUCGACGUGGUGGCCAUCCUGCCGUACUACAUCACGCUGCUUGUGGACCACACGUCCGCGGGGGACAAGCGUCCCGGCUCCGGCAGCAGCUACCUGGACAAGGUGGGCCUGGUGCUGCGUGUCCUCCGGGCCCUGCGCAUCCUCUACGUGAUGCGGCUGGCUCGCCACUCGCUGGGCCUGCAGACUCUCGGCCUGACGGCGAGGCGCUGCACGCGGGAGUUCGGCCUGCUCCUCCUGUUCCUGUGCGUCGCCAUCGCCCUGUACUCCCCGCUGCUGUACCUGAUAGAGAACGAAAUGGCCGCCACGCAGGAGUUCACGAGCAUCCCCGCCACCUACUGGUGGGCGGUGAUCACAAUGACCACGGUUGGCUACGGGGACAUGGUGCCAAGGAGCAUCCCGGGUCAGGUUGUGGCGCUCAGCAGCAUCCUGAGUGGCAUCCUGCUGAUGGCGUUCCCCGUCACCUCCAUCUUUCACACCUUCUCCCGGUCCUACGUGGAGCUGAAGCAGGAGCAGCAGAGGAUCCUGCAGCGGAGGACGCACUUUCUGCUGCGUAGCCGCAUGGCCGGCCUGGGGAGCAACCUUUCCCUGGAGAGCGACGUCCUCUUUCCCGUCAGGUCGUCUGAGGCGAGGAACAUGGACAAGUGAGACUGGCGGGACAGAGGAGGAGGGUCUGGGUGACUGGACAGGACGAUGAGGCGGCAAAGGACAUGUCACGGAGGAAUUACAGGAAGAGAAGCCAUCUGAGAAAGAAAUGGUGUGGAAAGAUGAUUUGAGCUGAUUCCCACGGACACGGAUUGUGCACCCACGUAGUGCCUGUGUUUGGAUCCGAGACAUAAGUAGCCAGGAAAUGCUGUAAUGCUGUCUGCUGAUUUUUUUUUUUUUUAAAAGAUCAUUAAAGAAUAAGAACUAAAAGAUGAAA